rnacentral:rRNA from 1 species
AUUGAACGCUGGCGGAAUGCUUUACACAUGCAAGUCGAACGGCAGCACGGGGCAACCUGGUGGCGAGUGGCGAACGGGUGAGUAAUACAUCGGAACGUGCCCAAUCGUGGGGGAUAACGUAGCGAAAGUUACGCUAAUACCGCAUACGAUCUACGGAUGAAAGCGGGGGAUCGCAAGACCUCGCGCGAAUGGAGCGGCCGAUGUCAGAUUAGGUAGUUGGUGGGGUAAAGGCUCACCAAGCCAACGAUCUGUAGCUGGUCUGAGAGGACGACCAGCCACACUGGAACUGAGACACGGUCCAGACUCCUACGGGAGGCAGCAGUGGGGAAUUUUGGACAAUGGGCGCAAGCCUGAUCCAGCCAUUCCGCGUGCAGGAUG